AGCAGACCAAACUAAAACAAACCAGAGUGAAGCCAAAUCAGAACAGAGAACAGAAAGAGGGCCAUUGUCUUGCCAAAGUGUAAAAAGCGAUGAACUACUGGCAUGCAUAUGCAAUGGCACAGGCAAACCAAAUAAUCAGUAAACCCCGUAAAGCAGCUCUUUGUUUCAGGAACCAGAGAGAAUGUGGAUUUUAGACAGUCUGGUGUUCUGCUCCCUUUUCACAUGCCUGGCAUUUUCCUGACAACACAACCUGCUGUUCCAUAAUGAAUAAGCCUUGACAUUUUUCAUUCCCAUACAAAAUAGACACUAACAUUUAUUGGUGUGCCUCAAUGUAGGGUUUUCUUUUUUUAAAAAAGACGAUACCCUAACCCUUUCCAGCUAUAUUAAGCUAAAGGGAUAAAGGCAAGAGAGGAAAGGGUUGGGUUGGGAAGCCAGGCUUCAUCGCUUGCUUCUGUUGCUGACUCACACUGAAACAGACUUAACAAUCUCUCCAUUUCCUCACUUUCAAAGGGCCGUGUAGAGUUCAGCUAAUUUUUGCUUAGGGGGUUCAGAGAUGCAUCUAUUAAAAAAUAUUGUCAGGCAAAGGGAUUGGUUUCCAAAGCACCUAAGCUUCCCAGAGGCCCAGAGUCUGCAUGAAGCAACUCAAGAGAAAUUCUACAGGGACUAAACAAAUAAUACAGAGUGGAAUUUAUUCAAGGAGGCUGCAAGAGGCUUCCGGUGAAUUGAAUCAGAAGAACGAUAGCAGGCAUAGCCAUCUGGAGGCAUGUCCUUAAAGUGUUGCUGGACUACAACUCCCAUUUUCCUGGACCAUUGGCCAUGCCAUGCUGAGUGGAGCUAGAGGGGGUUGGACUGCAGCUACACCUGGAUGACAGCACAUUGGUUACUCCUGCCUUAAGAGGGUAAAGCAGAGAGUGGGGAAAGAGUAGCAGGGAGAUUUUGCAUGCCGAAGAAGAGGCAAAAUCAAACCAGGACACAAGGAGCUUUCCAUCUGAUAUGACGAAUUCCCUUCGGUUCCAACAGGACCUAGGAUGGAUUGCCAGCUCACUAAAUGUCUUCCUAUUUUUUUUGUACUCUAGGAUCUGGGAGUCUAAGAAGUGCUGAGAAGUUUCCGCAAGCUGAGACUCUGCGGAGAGUAGCUACUGCUAAUGGCAAAAGACAGCAGGUGCUCUGGUCAGGUAACACAGAACUGUUUGCCAUGGCAACUGCCCCAGUGCAGCAAGGCCCACAACACAGAACAGCCAGGUCUGGGAGGUUUCCUGAGCUACAACAAGCCUGUUUGAUUGGAGGGGGUGAGGAGAGCUACAGUGAUGUGGGGAGAAAUUCCCACUACAAGUGCAAGCCUGUGCAUUUUUUCUGAGAAUUCCCACUAUGUUCAGUGGUGCUUACACCAAGGUAGGGAUGGAGAAGAAUUUGGUUUAGUCUGCAUUUCAAGUGAACUGAUCUCAUUCACACCUCCCAUACAUGGAUUGAAAUGUAAUUAUGCUUUGGAUUUCGCACUUCUCCAAAUUUUACAAUUCACUUCUUGGCCUAAUA